rnacentral:ribozyme from 14 species
UUUUUUUUUUUUUUUUUUUUUUUUUUUGCACUGAGCU